AUCCAGCUGACGAGUUCCAAAUAGAACGAAAUGCGCCUCCUAGAU
rnacentral:hammerhead_ribozyme from 1 species